rnacentral:lncRNA from 1 species
GUAAAGAGGAGUAUGCAGUAGAAACUAAAAAAGUGAUAGCUAUUUUUAUCCCAACUUGUGCAGGUUUCCUUCAUCCUGAUGUCAAAGGCAUGUUCUAAGCAGAAUAACUGAAAGUGAGACACCUGAGCUGUGAGCGGGGCCAGGUGUGGAGUGGGACUCACAGGGUGACAGAAGGGGCCAAGUCACUCCCCAGAUCUGUCAAAGGCAGCAGGAGUCACGCACAGUUUUCCUGUGAGGUUUGCGCUGGGUUCUUCGCAGUCUCCUCUGAUGAAUCCUCACCUCCCACCCUCAGCUGCUGCUCUGAGGAGACAGGCC